AACGGCUGGCGGCGCGCCUAACACAUGCAAGUCGAACGGAGAAAGAAACAGCUUGCUGGAUCUUCUUAGUGGCGGACGGGUGAGUAACACGUGAGCAACCUGCCCUUCAGAGUGGAAUAACGUUUGGAAACGAACGCUAAUACCGCAUAACACCAUUGGAUGGCAUCAUCUGGUGGUCAAAGAUUUAUCGCUGAAAGAUGGCCUCGCGUCUGAUUAGCUAGUUGGUGAGGUAACGGCCCACCAAGGCGACGAUCAGUAGCCGGACUGAGAGGUUGACCGGCCACAUUGGGACUGAGAUACGGCCCAGACUCCUACGGGAGGCAGCAGUGGGGAAUAUUGGGCAAUGGGCGCAAGCCUGACCCAGCAACGCCGCGUGAAGGAAGAAGGCUUUCGGGUUGUAAACUUCUUUUGUCAGGGAAGAGUAGAAGACUGUACCUGGCGAAUAAGCCACGGCUAACUACGUG
rnacentral:rRNA from 1 species